rnacentral:rRNA from 1 species
UACGUAGGGGGCAAGCGUUGUCCGGAUUUAUUGGGCGUAAAGAGCGUGUAGGCGGUCAGGUAGGUCCGUUGUGAAAACUCGAGGCUCAACCUCGAGACGCCGAUGGAAACCAUCUGACUAGAGUCCGGAAGAGGAGAGUGGAAUUCCUGGUGUAGCGGUGAAAUGCGCAGAUAUCAGGAAGAACACCCGUGGCUAAGGCGGCUCUCUAGUACGGUACUGACGCUGAGACGCGAAAGCUAGGGGAGCAAACGGG